CGGUUUCCAUCCCAUAAAGAACGUUGUGCCUUUAACAGGACGGCUUCCAGCAUCACUCAUACGAUUAACAAAAAGAAUGGAGGUUAAAGUAUCAGUGGAAGGAGUCCUGCAUGUUGUCAGCAGGGUAACGGAGAAAACAACAUGCCAGGAAGUGGUCAUAGCUUUGGCUCAAUCCCUUGGUCGUCCUGGGCGCUACACACUUAAAGAAAAAUUCAAAGACUUUGACAGGAAUGUGACACCAAAUGAGCGUAUUC